ensembl:lncRNA
NNNNNNNNNNNNNNNNNNNNNNNNNNNNNNNCAGCAGGACAACAUGGGGAACAUGGGGACAUGGAGGGACACAGGGACAUGGAGAUCGUUCCCUGGGCUCAUCUCGCUCUUGGGCUUGUUCAGCAGCUCCUGGGGACAGCGUGGGGACAGUGGGGACAUCGUGGGGACAGCGUGGGAACAUCAGGAGAACAUGGGGACAUCAGAAGAACAUGGGGACAGCAGGACAACACGGGGAACAUGGGGACAUGGAGGGACACAGUGACAUGGAGGGACAUGGAGAUCGUUCCCUGGGCUCAUCUCGCUCUUGGGCUUGUUCAGCAGCUCCUGGGGACAGUGGGGACAUCGUGGGGACAUCGUGGGGACAGCGUGGAGACAUCAGGAGAACAUGGGGACAGCAGGAGAACAUGGGGACAUCAUGGACAUCAGGGGAGCAGAGGGACACAGGGACAUGGAGAUCAUUCCCUGGGCUCAUCUCGCUCUUGGGCUUGUUCAGCAGCUCCUGGGGACAUCAUGGGGACAUCAGGAGAAUGUGGGGACAUCACGGACAUCAGGGGAGCAGAGGGACACGGGGACAUGGAUGGACAUGGAGGGACACGGGAACAUGGAGAUCAUUCCCUGAGCUCAUCUCGCUCUUGGGCUUGUUCAGCAGCUCCUGGGGACAUCGUGGGGACAGUGGGGACAUUGUGGGGACAGCGUGGGGACAGCAGGAGAACAUGGGGACAGCAGGAGAACGUGGGGACAUCAUGGACAUCAGGGGAAAAGAGGGACACGGGGACAUGGAUGGACAUGGAGGGACACAGGGCCAUGGAGAUCAUUCCCUGGGCUCAUCUCGCUCUUGGGCUUGUUCAGCAGCUCCUGGGGACAGCGUGGGGACAGUGGGGACAGCGUGGGGACAGCAGGAGAACAUGGGGAACACAGGGACAUGGACGGAUAUGGAGAUCGUUCCCUGGGCUCAUCUCACUCUUGGGCUUGUUCAGCAGCUCCUGGGGACAUCGUGGGGACAGUGGGGACAGCGUGGGGACAUCAGGAGAACAUGGGGACAUCAGGAGAACAUGGGGAACAUGGGGACAUGGACGGACACAGGGACAUGGAUGGACAUGGAGGGACACAGGGCCAUGGAGAUCGUUCCCUGAGCUCAUCUUGCUCUUGGGCUUGUUCAGCAGCUCCUGGGACGGUGGGGGGACAGUGGGGACAUCGUGGGGACAGUGGGGACAGCGUGGGGACAGCGUGGGGACAGCAGGGACAUCAGGAGAACAUGGGGACACCAUGGUCAUCAGGGGAGCAGAGGAACACAGGGACAUGGAUGGACAUGGAGAUUGUUCCCUGGGCUCAUCUCACUCUUGGGCUUGUUCAGCAGCUCCUGGGGACAUCGUGGGGACAGCAGGGACAGCGUGGGGACAUCAGGAGAACAUGGGGACAUCAGGAGAACAUGGGGACAUCAGGAGAACAUGGGGACAUCACGGACAUCAGGGGAGCAGAGGAACACAGGGACAUGGAUGGACAUGGAGAUUGUUCCCUGGGCUCAUCUCACUCUUGGGCUUGUUCAGCAGCUCCUGAGAUGGCGGGGGGACAGUGGGGACAGCGUGGGGACAUCGUGGGGACACCAGAGACAGCGUGGGGACAUCAU